rnacentral:rRNA from 1 species
UACGUAGGCAGCGAGCGUUGUUCGGAGUUACUGGGCGUAAAGGGUGUGUAGGCGGUUUUCUAAGUUUGGUGUGAAAUCUCCCGGCUCAACCGGGGAGGGUGCGCCGAAAACUGGGAGACUAGAGUGCGGGAUGGGAGAGUAGAAUUCCUGGUGUAGCGGUGAAAUGCGUAGAUAUCAGGAGGAAUACCGGUGGUGUAGACGGCUCUCUGGACCGCCACUGACGCUGAGACACGAAAGCGUGGGUAGCAAACAGG